rnacentral:sRNA from 1 species
AAAAAAAACACAAAAAAAAAACUUGUUCAUUGUUUGAUGCGGCAUUUGCUAAAGUGUUUAUA